rnacentral:rRNA from 1 species
CUCCUACGGGAGGCAGCAGUGAGGAAUAUUGGUCAAUGGGCGCAAGCCUGAACCAGCCAUCCCGCGUGCAGGAAGACGGCCCUAUGGGUUGUAAACUGCUUUUCCAGGGGGAGAAUUUUUCUGUCGUGACAGGAAUUGACGGUACCCUGGGAAUAAGCAUCGGCUAACUCCGUGCCAGCAGCCGCGGUAAUACGGAGGAUGCGAGCGUUAUCCGGAUUUAUUGGGUUUAAAGGGUGCGUAGGCGGAUAGAUAAGUCAGUGGUGAAAACCUGCAGCUUAACUGUAGACUUGCCGUUGAUACUGUCAGUCUUGAGUAUGGUCAAGGUAGGCGGAAUGUGUAAUGUAGCGGUGAAAUGCUUAGAUAUUACACAGAACACCGAUUGCGAAGGCAGCUUACUGGGCCAUUACUGACGCUGAUGCACGAAAGCGUGGGGAUCGAACAGGAUUAGAUACCCUGGUAGUCCACGCCGUAAACGAUGAUCACUCGCUGUUAGCGAUACACAGUUAGCGGCUAAGCAAAAGCAUUAAGUGAUCCACCUGGGGAGUACGGCCGCAAGGCUGAAACUCAAAGGAAUUGACGGGGGCCCGCACAAGCGGAGGAACAUGUGGUUUAAUUCGAUGAUACGCGAGGAACC